rnacentral:rRNA from 1 species
CACUCUUAACUCGGCUCAUGCGUCGAUGAAGAACGCAGCUAGCUGCGAGAACUAAUGUGAUGUGCAGGACACAUUAGAUUACAUCAACUUAGAUGUGUCACACUUAUUUGCCUUUUGUGUAAUGUCU